rnacentral:rRNA from 1 species
GACGAACGCUGGCGGCGUGCCUAAUACAUGCAAGUAGGACGCACAGCCUAUACCGUAGCUUGCUACACCAUAGGCUUUGAGUUGCGAACGGGUGAGUAACGCGUAGGUAACCUGCCUAUUAGAGGGGGAUAACUAUUGGAAACGAUAGCUAAUACCGCAUAACAGUAUGUAACACAUGUUAGAUGCUUGAAAGAUGCAAUUGCAUCGCUAGUAGAUGGACCUGCGUUGUAUUAGCUAGUAGGUAGGGUAAAGGCCUACCUAGGCAACGAUACAUAGCCGACCUGAGAGGGUGAUCGGCCACACUGGGACUGAGACACGGCCCAGACUCCUACGGGAGGCAGCAGUAGGGAAUCUUCGGCAAUGGGGGGAACCCUGACCGAGCAACGCCGCGUGAGUGAAGAAGGUUUUCGGAUCGUAAAGCUCUGUUGUUAAGGAAGAACGAGUGUGAGAA